CCUACGAGUGGCAGCAGUGAGGAAUAUUGGUCAAUGGGCGCGAGCCUGAACCAGCCAAGUAGCGUGAAGGAUGACUGCCCUACGGGUUGUAAACUUCUUUUAUAAAGGAAUAAAGUGAGGCACGUGUGCCUUUUUGUAUGUACUUUAUGAAUAAGGAUCGGCUAACUCCGUGCCAGCAGCCGCGGUAAUACGGAGGCUCCGAGCGUUAUCCGGAUUUAUUGGGUUUAAAUGGAGCGUAGAUGGGUUGUUAAGUCAGUUGUGAAAGUUUGCGGCUCAACCGUAAAAUUGCAAUUGAUACUGGCAGUCUUGAGUACAGUAGAGGUAGGCGGAAUUCGUGGUGUAGCGGUGAAAUGCUUAGAUAUCACGAAGAACUCCGAUUGCGAAGGCAGCUUACUAAACUGCCACUGACAUUGAUGCUCGAAAGUGUGGGUAUCAAACAGGAUUAGAUACCCGAGUAGUC
rnacentral:rRNA from 1 species